rnacentral:rRNA from 1 species
CUUGACUGUAUCUUGGAAUUGGGUUCGGGCUUUUCUUGCGCAGACUAGGUGGGAGGCUAUGAAGGUUUUCUUCCGGGGAAGUUGGAGCCAACAGUGAGAGACCACUCUGGAUAGGCUAGAAUCCUAAUGGUGAUCCUUGAAUCAGGACACUUGACAGUUUCAGGUGGGCAGUUUUUCUGGGGCGGAAGCCUCAUAAAGGGUAACUGAGGCGCGCAAAGGUCCCCUCAGUCUGGACGGAAAUCAGACAACGAGUGUAAAGGCAAAAGGGGGCUUGACUGCAAGACCUACAAGGCGAGCAGGAGCGAAAGCUGGCCUUAGUGAUCCGACGGUACCGUGUGGAAGGGCCGUCGCUCAACGAAUAAAAGUUA